AAAGGCAAUAUAUGCUAUAUGUUAUCCAUGGCAAAGGAUACCAUAAAAAUCGUAAGUAUGGAAAAGGACUGUCCACUUAGCGUGGCUGUCCCUGUGAAGGGGUACGCAGCACUUGGUGGGCUACAAGCAAAACAUAAAAAAAAGGCCAAAAUAAAAAUUUAAUUUAACCAUUUUGCAGGUGGAGGAUCGAACCAAAACAAGAGGAUCACGGUACCAUGGAAAGGCACCAAUGAUUCACAUGUUCAUGAUAUGUGGAAGCAAUGUUAAUUCCUCAAAUCGAAUGUUUCCAAGUUUGCAAGAACAGAAAAGAUAAUUAAUACCGGCGUUCGAACCGACUCAUGCCACUGCUACAAUCAUAAGAGAGAGUCUCCGAUGCAAAGAAACAGGAGAAGCAAAAGUGAUACUAAAAUGCUAUGUGUGGACAUGGCCACUACGUACGACCUUACCUCUUACGACAAGUAUUUACAAGGCAAUUUGAUAGAUUUAUGAUUCAGCGAAGAGAUGACACGAGAGUCUUUGUCCAAGGUUCCUCUUGUUGUUUAGCUCCAAUAGCCUAUACCGGUUUGAUAUAUUACAGAUUUUUUUUGGUUUGUGGCAUUUGAGAUAUGAAACUUUUUUUUUUUGGGAAAAAUGAGAUA